rnacentral:rRNA from 1 species
AGCCACCGCGGUAAUUCCAGCUCCAAUAGCGUAUAUUAAAGUUGUUGCAGUUAAAAAGCUCGUAGUUGAAUUUCGGGGUUAGUAGGUUGGUCAUGCCUCUGGUAUGUACUGGUCUCACUGAUUCCUCCUUCCUGAUGAGCCGUAAUGCCAUUAAUUUGGUGUUGCGGGGAAUUUGGACUGUUACUUUGAAAAAAUUAGAGUGUUUAAAGCAAGCUAACGCUUGAAUACAUUAGCAUGGAAUAAUGAAAUAGGACGUUCGAUCCUAUUUUGUUGGUUUCUAGGAUUGACGUAAUGAUUAAUAGGGAUAGUUGGGGGCAUUAGUAUUCAAUUGUCAGAGGUGAAAUUCUUGGAUUUAUUGAAGACUAAGCUACUGCGAAAGCAUUUGCCAAGGAUGUUUUCAUUAAUCAAGAACGAAAGUUAGGGGAUCGAAGACGAUCAGAUACCGUACGUAGUCUUAACCAUAAACUAUGCCGACUAGGGAUCGGAUGAUGUUAAUUUUUUAAUGACUCA